rnacentral:rRNA from 1 species
AAAAACAUGGUCUUUUGUUUAUAUAAAAGAUCUGGCCUGCCCAAUGAUUUUUUAAUGGCUGCAGUAUUUUGACUGUACAAAGGUAGCAUAAUCAUUUGUCUUUUAAUUGAAGUCUGGAAUGAAUGGUUGGAUAAAAAAUUUACUUUCUUUGUUUUAUAAAUAAAAGUUGAUUUCUGGUUAAAAAAGUCUAGAUAUUAUUGUAGGACGAGAAGACCCUAUAGAACUUUAUUGAUUCUCCAAAAAAAUUAUAUUUUGUUUAUAUUUAUAAUUUUUUUGGAGGUUAAUUUUAUUGGGGUGAUAAAAAAAAUUUAAUAACUUUUUUUAAUUGUUUCAUUUAUUUAUGAUGUUUUGAUCCUUUUUUAGGGAAACAAGAUUAAGUUACCUUAGGGAUAACAGCGUUAUUGUUCUAGAGAGUUCUUAUCGAUAGAAUAGUUUGCGACCUCGAUGUUGGAUUAAAAUAAGUUCUGGGAGUAGAAAAUUAGGUUACUAGGUCUGUUCGACCUUUAAAUUUUUACAUGAUCUGAGUU